rnacentral:lncRNA from 1 species
UAGUGACUGUUAAGCUUGCUGUGUGUCCGGAGGCUGCGGUUUGCUGCGGGGACCCUGCCCAGGGUUGCUGUUUAGCGCUCUGUAGGGGGUUGGACCAGGAAAGUGGCGCCUCUGCAUUUUCUGCCCAGCUCCUCUUGGUGCAUUUCCUGGGGAAACUGAUUAAGCCAACCCACGUUUCAUUCAUUCGCCCAGCCAGAUAGAUUGGGAACCGAUUACAUACCAGACAUUGUGCGGGGCGCUGCGGAUUUGGGGUCAACCCGCCUGUCCCUGCUCAGUGUAGAGUCUCCGGCCUGGGGAGGAGGAGCACAAGCGAAUAUGCAUUCUACUGUGACUUUUUUGUUUGGGAUUAUAACGCUGUUGGAGAAGCAACAUAAUGAAGUGGUUGAGAAUCUGCUGUGGCGCCAGAAGAGUUACUGAAAUUACUAAAGACAAUUUGGAGAACGGAAGUUUUGUGUGCCAAUUUUCAGUGUGAAAAAACAGUUGGAUGUGAAGAAAAGUAAAUUCUGUGAAGCUGAUGUCUCCGAUGACCUUCGAAAAGAAGUAGAAAAUCAUUAUAAGCUCUCUUUACCUGAAGAUUUCUUUCACUUCUGGAAGUUCUGUGAAGAACUUGAUUCUGAAAAACCAGCUGGGAUUCUCCUGAUGAACUUCUUGUAUAUGUUGGUAUAAAUGAAGCAAAGAAAAAUUGUAUAAUUGUUCCAAAUGGAGAUAACGUAUUUGCAACAGUCAAAUUGUUUAUCAAAUGAAAAAUUGGCAACAACAUACCCAGCAAUAGAGAAGACUAGGAAUCAAGAUAGUGCCACAAGAGUAGCAGCAGUCAUUGCAUUAUUCACAGCAGUAACAUGCAAAUGUAUUUAAGAAUGUUUGUGAUGGAGCCAGACAUGGUAGCUACUCGGAAUGUUGAGGUGGGAGCAUUGCUUGAGCCCAGGAGUUCAAGUUUAUCCUGAGCAACAUAGCAAGACCCUGUCCCUGAGAAAAAAACGUCAGUGAUGGAGUAUACAUGUGUUAGCUGUCUACCAUUGAGUAUAUCUCUUCAACAUUCUGUGAUGAAAUAGGAAAUGCAUAGACAGCAUUUCUCAUACUGAAGUACUGUGGUUUGUCUCAAGGGGAAAAAAAAGCACUUGUGUGAUUGAGUUUUGAGAUGAACUUUUUCCCACUUUUAGAAAUAGUGACUCACUGACAAAGUCUGGUUAUUUGGGUCUAGAUACUGGCAGAAAUAUUUUCAAAUGAACCAAAGAAAACAACUGACUGACUAUAUUUUUUGCCAGUGAUAAAAUUCAAGGUUUCGAACAAUAAUAAAUUGAGAAACUUGUAA